UCCUCUUUGUCCCAUAAGCUAAUGAUUGAUCAAACAAGUUAGCCUUAAAAAACAAUGCUGUCUGCAGAUUCUGCAAAAGCAAAGUCCAUAUGUAGAAAAGUAUACAAUUGUUGGUGAAGAGGUAUUGUAAAGUUCCCAAAUAGUGAUGGGCGAAAGGCAGAUGAAGCAGAUCUGCUCUCAACUGGAAACAUCUUACGGAGAGAGGAUGUAUUAUCACCUUGCUUCCCCUUCAGCAUGAGAGAGUGUCGCCAUAGGACAGCUCAGCAACUUGAAGGAACAUCAAGAAGCAUCUUGUGAAUGUUCCGAAGUCCAACUCCUACCUCAUGGGCAACAUGUUGACAUGGAAUCUACCACAGCUGCUAGCAGCCACAGGAUACUAACAAACAGCUCCAAUGAGAAGAAUGCAGACAGGUGCUUUCGUCCCCAGUCUUUGUGGAAAUCAUCUAUGAAAGCCACAUGCAGGAUCACUGCAGCAUACCAAAUAAUCAUCCCAGUAAACCACAGGUCAUCCCCUGCUGGCCCAUGACUCACUACCCAAGAGCAUGAUGUGGGAACUCUGGAAGAAAAUCAAAUGCCUCCUGAAUAUAGUGGUCUUCCCAUCACCUUCCUAGAGUCUCCAGCACCUGAGCCUUAAUAAGUCUGGCAUGUAGGCGGCCUAUGAACUGCUGUCAAGCCUUCUGAGCUCUAGGUAACUGAGCAUCACUUACCUAGAACUCAGCAGGCCUUCCAGCAUGGCCUCUCCUUAUUAACCAACCACCUGCAAUUCUUGUGAGACAAGCUUGCCUACUUCCCACUAGAGUGCUAUAUAUUUGGAACAAAAUCAUGCCAACAAGCAGGACAACAUGUCCUUUUUCUCCUUCCACCUUGGGGGCACUUGGCCCAUAACUAAUCCAUAAUUGCAGGUUGCCUUUUGGAAUAGCAGCUCUGUACCUGACAUCCAAACCUCUUAUCCUGAUGUGACCACACAGUGGUAUGAGGCAUCUUCUCUAGGCCAAACCUUCAUGCUUCUGCUUCCAGGGCCUAAGAAAGUGCAGCCAUGAAACUUUUCAGGCUUGUUGGAACAUGGAGGGAGGAAAACAUGGAGGGAGGUCAGCAGAUAACUGCCAUUCUUUCCAACUAAACUGACACCACAAAUGACACUUGUCAUUGCUAGUGUUCCCAGGGUUGCGUGCAGUGCCAUUAGCUCAUACCCUAUGGCAAUUAUGGAGAGGAAGAGGCUGUCUUGCCUCUUGACAUUUAGAAAGGUUAUGCAAGUACAUUGGCCUUGUGUGCAGUUUGCUUAGUUCCUUGGACAAACCUCACAUGGAAGGAAAUACACACUGUGAGGAAAAAAAACUGUUUCAUGGUAGGUUUCUCCUACAGUUCACAGCCAUAUGGAUUGCUUUUAAAGGCCUAAAAUAGCUUUCUUGAUUGAACCAGCAAUUCAUUGCCUCUCCACAAACCCAGGCCAGUGUCUUAGUUGCACCUGAAGACUCACAUGCCUGUCCUGCUGCUCCACCUUAACAACAAGUACAGGAAAGCAGUGCAUCCACCUGGGUUGAAGCUCAGUUGCCACAAGCACAGGAGGCUGUAUGAUUCCAAAGAGACCUCUUCAAUAUCACUGUAGUAAGGAUGCAUGCUUUGGCAUCUCAAAAACUGGCUGUUGCCCUGAUAUUCAGGACAACUUCUUCCACUAUCUCAGAACUGUACACAUACCCCAAUUGCUGGUGUUCUAGUAACUGGUGACGACUGAGGUACACAGUCUCCUCCCUCCUGCUGCUAGGUUAUGCAGCCAAAAAUUCCAGCCCUCUCAUGACAGAUUGAAAACAAGUAUUUCCUUGCAGCCUAAGGUGCCACCCCAUUGGAACACCCAAGAAGCCAAAGAGACCUUGACACCAUUGGGUAGAAAAGCAGUCAGAAAAUAGAGACGGAAAAAAAAAAAUCAGAGCAACAGAAAGCAAGGCAGAAUGGAAAGCAUACUGAGGAAACUGUUGUGUAGAUUGUAGAACAGUAGAAUGACAGAUUUCAGUGUUGCUCUUGAGGGACGAUGUCGCAAGUGCCAAUGCCAGUUUCACUUUAUGCAGCAUGGGAAGCACCUCAAUGUCACAUAAGCUCUUCACAUUGUGUUUCCAUUCUUUCUGUCUGUGCAGCCCUGUGUCCCAUACUUGCUGGGGGACUUCACAGUGGCAUAGCCCACUCAGUAACCUGGAUUACUGAUACCAAGGACAUACACGCUAGGAAUAUAUUUGCUUUGCAUGAAACUAAACCAAAAGAUCUAACUUGCAUACAACAGCUUGAGCUCUGCAAUCCAAAUCGGUACACUAGGACAUUCAGGACUCACUUCAAAAUCACAUAAUUGCUCCAAACUAACACACUAGUGCAGACACAGCUUUUAAAGAGCAACUCCUUGUAGACAACUAGUGGAACCUGGCUAAAUAUCAAGCAAGUCCCUCAGAUCAGGUCUAAACUCUACAAAUCUCUUUUCAACAGUAUACGCCUCUGAUACCAAGCCCAUGGGUGGAACAGAGGAAGAACUGCUUAAUGAAAAACAACACAAAUUAUGUAGUGUUUGUGUAGAUGAGGUAUUUAAAUUUAAUACCAUCCUUAUUCUGAUAGCAUCUCUCAAUUAGCUCUCCAUAUCUAAGCCAGAAAUAUUUUUUUUUUCCUGUGUGUAGUUAUAUUUGUUCAUACCAGACCUAAACACGCUUUUUCUUACAUGUUUUCUACCAGUCAUCCUCUGAUCACUGGAAUUUACACAACGGAUCCCACCUUACUUGGUUAGACUGAGAAACAGAAAUCUCCACAGUGGUAAAGACACCCAGAAACCUUUGCCUAAGACAAAGCCUAACUUUUCUACACUUUUCAUAGCAGCUCAGAUAAUUUUAAGAGAUCUCAUGAAGUCUGCCAGAUUAUGGGAAAUAAAUUUGUACAACUGAGGCAAGCGUAGCUUCAAGGGAGCAAGAUCUGAGUUAUUAUGAAGCCAUGAACUACGGAUACAUUACUGUACUGAUCAAGGGAUAAGCCUUCCACUUUAGACAAGUGCAGGAUAAACACACCAUCAAAUACCAGUUCUGCAACAGCUUCUCAUCCACUGGCAUUUGACCACUAGAUGGCAUCUGCAUGCCAGACCAAUUCUAACAUGAAGAAAAUCGUUGUCAACAGACUGGGUCUCUCAUUAGGUUGACUGCACUAAAUUCUUGCAUAGCAUUAGCAUAAACAAGACAGACCAAGGAAAAGAAUGUCUUUUUAUUCUAAGUAGAAAAAGCAAGGCAGAAGCCUUUAAAACUAGCAUGUCAGUUUGUUGCUGUCCUUUUAGGCAUGAGCCUUGAAUAGGAAUGAACAAAAUCAGGUGUUUGCUCUCCAUCACUGCUUCAACAGAAUUGGGCCUGAAGUCUUACAACACAUGUUCUUAACCCAGCCUUCUGGAAAUUAGGUGCACUAAAACAUGUCCAUUAAAAUGUAAUUCUCAUAACACAUUCUCUCUCCCAGCAUUUCACAGAAGUAAUAUACAAUCUCCUUGUGGAAGGCGCAAGAAGCCACUCAGGAACAGCAAUCUGAAAUAGAAAUAUAAAAUAUUCUGAGGUAGCUAGUGGAAAAUUACUAAUUUAUACAUGCCUAGAAAUUUGAGAAGGCAAAGAGCUUACUAGAGUAACUAGGAAGUAGCCAGAGGAAGCAAUGUGAAAUACUUGUAGCUAUUUCACAUUAAGAUACACUUGUUGGCAAUUAAAAAUGAUAGAGAAAAACAUUACAGCAGAAUAUAUUUACUUGGCAAGGCUGUCCUCUGCAUUCAUUGAUGUGUGACGCUCUGCUUUGUGUCAUGAGCUGCACCAGUUUGUCCACACAUUUUUUCUGGCUAGCCUUUUCAAAAAUUAUUGGAUCCAUCUACAGCAUUCUCUUCCACCCUGAAGAUUCAUACUUCUAAAGCAACAUAAGCAGUUGGAACUCUCUACAAAGGAGAAAAAUCAGUAACUUAACUAUUCUUCUGCUCUCUGCAAAUAUCAUCUACUGGUUUUGAAUAUCUGCUAUCUGUAAGAGAGCAAAAAUAAUGUAAUCCUAUUUGCUUUACUUCCUUCAUUAAACAAUAACUCAGGUUAAAUUAAGACACUGAAACAACAUCUGGGCACGUCUAUCCUAUUUCAAGAGGAUUUUUCAAGCAGUGCUUGUUUCUAGACCUCUGCCUGGGAGCUCUUCUCAUCUAUAAUAUAACGCUUACAUCUCCACCUGAAGAUACAGAAUAGCUUUUCCUUAUCUUUAUCCGCAGCUAGAUCUAGUUAGUACCUGCCUUCUGAUGCAGUUGCUUCUAAGACCAGGUCUGCAGUAGGCCAAACAAGAAGCUUAGACUGCAGAUUCUCUUAACAAAGGCAGCAAACAGGAAAGAGGCUGUGCUAGGCCACAUGCAACGCAUAUACUCUGUUUAAAACUCCAUAUCUUCUGUUUCAGGCAGUGUCAUGGUUUAGCUCCAGGCUGGCCAAUUUCAGCAGCUAAAACCAAGCAGCUAGCCUCCCAAUUCCCUUCCUUUCCAAACCCAACCCCACCUCAGGGAAAGGGAAAUGAGAGAGGAAAAAACUUGCAGGUUGCAAAACCCACAACAGGCAGCAAUAGGUUUUCCUUGCAAAAGAUUACCAUAGCUAUGUAUUGGCAAGGUUAUUUUGAAUUAUCUUUUCAGUCUUAUUUCUUGGGACAUACAGGUAAGGGAUUAAUGAGUUCAAACAGGGCACCAGGAAACAGAAUGAAAUUUUGUCCUCAUUACAAAUAAAUACAUUGAGAGCAUUAUUAUUUAUUUUAACAAGGCACACUAAGAUACAGAACAAAUAACCAGACAGCUUUGCUAGUUUCCCAACAACUCGAGGACUGUGCAAGGAAGAUUCUUGGGCACUACCAGUUUCCAGAAAUCCAUGGGACAAGAACCUGGCAGAUCCUUAAUAACAGAAAGUACCUGAACUUGUGUCACAUCUUGGUAGAUUAUUUACUGUGCCAACACUGACUUACUGUCACACGGUUUUCCAGUGUUCAGUCCAAGUAGUUCAACAUGCUCCGAGGUUCCUUCUGCUCUGAUCAUCUGAUACGUGCAGUGAGAAAGUUUGGUCAUACACCCAUGAGUUGCACACAGGCAGCUGGUUAGAUGCUGUCACUAAAACCUUUAUCACCCUUUGGAACAAAGCAAGCAAAAUCAAUGUAUAAUGCAGGAGAAAAAAGUAUACAGCUGCACUCUGAGUGAGUUUGAAAGCUGCUAAUGAUGCUAACUUGACAGCAGAGAAAAAAAAUAUACAGGCUAUUAAUAUUAGGCUAUGCUUAAAUAUCCUAAACCCAGUAUUGAUUCAUCGAAUUCCCUUUUUAUUGAGUUUCCUUUUAUGUGCAUGAACCUCAUCACAACUCUGUUCUGUACUAAAAAAACAACGCUCAUCUUUAAAGCAUAUUAUUGACUUCAUGUGGAGUCAGAGAAACAUCUGAUUGUACCGUAGUCAUCUCUGCUCCAGCAUAAGAAGACAUUUUCUCACCCUUGCUUUUUCACCAGUUGAUUCAAAGCGAAAUAUGCACAUUUAUCCUCAUGUACAUUACAGAGCAGACAGAUGCCAACCAUGAAUCAAGUCACAACACAAGUUUAAAAGCAAUACAGAAGUGACAGCACCACUUCAUCUCUGCUCUUUGCUAAGCUGUAAUGUUACCCGCCACGUUUGUAUAGUGUCUUCAUCUCCAAACUGGAUAGCAAGGAAAGUUCCAGAAGCACCAGUCACAGCUAUAAAAUUGAGAGUUUGUGAGGAAGAAAUUCAACAUGUGGUUAAAAGCUAGUUUUUUUCAACUAUAACUACAUACACCUCAACACAGCAGGUACUCUUUUCCAUUAACCUUUGAGCUUUACAUCAAAGGCCAACCAUGGGAUAUUUGUGUUUGACACAUUCUGAAAUUCCAGCUACCAAAACCAGUUACUCUCAGGUCACCUUCAAUUUUCAAGAGCAGUAAUGUCUUUCACGUUUCCAUCACUAGAGAGCAAAAAAUGUGUUCACCAACCCCAAACCACAUACAGCUCCAGUAAUUUAAUCUGACAGCUUUCACAGUAAUGAUUGCAAUAUCCUCUUGGACUUAUCAAAACACAAGUCACAGACAGGAACACUUCUUCGUAUAAAAGAUACUUUGCUGCUCAUCAACUCCUAUUUUUAUCAUCUUUUGGCAGAAACACAGCAGAGAGGAUCCCUACCUUCCAACAACCCUGGAAGAGGGAUGUAGGCUAUUAAGAAUAAAAGCAACUUCAUUCCACAGAUCUAAAAAAUUCCUCUUGGGAGUUUCCCAGGUGAGUAAGUAGACUGUAGUGUGAUACUACAGAAAAUGCCAUACCUAUCUAUUAGUUCCUCUCAACAGAGAGGAUGGUACAAAAGCAAACUGUCUUCCUAACAGUGACUGUGAAGCUUGGUGAUACCUAGCAGCAAUACAGACGCAGUUAAUCACAUCGAGUCAGAACCAAGAAGACCAACUUGGACUUCGGUGGCUGCAAGUACUUCUGUGUCCAGCCACAGCAAACUGAGUACAAUCCACUAGCAUAAGACCCCUUAAUGUAUUUUUAGUGAGUCUAUUUCUAAGUAAUUUCUUGGAAAUGUAUGAGAUCAGUAUGAAAAACUACCUAAACAGAAAUAACAUCCUAGGUAUUAGAGCAGCAUAAUAACCACAACUAUUGAAACACUUUUUUCCUCCUUUAAAUUAUGACUAUUCCAUGCAUACAAAACAGACCACAGUGAAGCUUACAAAAAAGUGGUGCAAAACUAGAAUAUCAUAUCAAGCAAUGCAAGAGAGCAAAGAAAUACUCAUUGCACCAUAUUUUAAAUUAAUUAAAGCAGGUAUUUCUCUAGUGUUUAAUAAUCACGAAAUGUCUGUCAACCACAAAGAAUGAACACAAGAGGUCAUGUGCCAUCUUGUACUCUACUACGAAAUCAGGAAUCAAUAUUACUGUCAGAUACAAGGGUGUGGGGAGAGCACAUGCAAAAAUAUCCCUCAAACGGUGUGACAUUUUACAAGCCUCUUAAUGGCUCAUUUGAGAAUCCUCCUUUUAUUUCCCAGUACACUAACACUGCUAUUUAGGACAAGACUUACGUGGAAAAAACUUAUUAGUAAUUAGACCAACAGUGAUUUCCAUGGAAGAAAGAGUUAAUUUUAUCUGAGUAUAACUAGAUUCAGAUUCUUUUCUACCUCUUUCAGAACGGGAAACAGUAAAAAUAAUAAAAACCUAUAUUAACAUUGUAAACUUAAGCUCAAGUGGUAUGGAAAGUUCUGUUAUGUAUCUAACACUUCUGACUUGCUUUUAGUAUGGAAUAUUGGUCAUAUCUACGGGGCAAGAUUAUUAAAUAAUGUAUUUUUUCUGCAACACAGGAUAAUAAGGCAUGUUAGCAGACGCUUCAACUUCCCAGAAGUCAAAACAGCACUCAAAUCCUUUAGCAAGUGAUUGCUGCCAUAUAAAAAUAGCAAUUCUCCAGAAUACCACAUCUGGCUUUCUAGAACCAUAAAAUGUACUAAGAAUUUCCUCUUUCUUUAGGACACAGCAAAAGGCCUGAAGACUUUAUUUUCCUUUAGACACAGCAUCUGUAAUACAAGCGAGCAUGUUAGGCACUCACAUAACAUACAGCUUUACACCUGGACAUUUUAUGAUACAGAAGACAUUAUUCCAGAAACUAAGGAAAAAAUGGAAGAGUGUUAAUCCAGAUGUUUAGUAACACGAUGCUUCUUACAAGAGAGGCCAACACUUAACAAAACCCAGCAUUUUCAAAACUCUGAAAACUAAAUGUCAAGUAAGUAAUUACUUAGAGCAGAAGUACCCUGUGUCAAGGUUUACAGAAUAUAUUUCAUCAAUCGCCUCGUCACAAACUGAAGUUACUCUCAGUUACACUGCUCUACUGACUUUCAAGAAAAGGUGUUUUUGAGCAAUAUCAGAAGAAAUCUAUUCCUGUAUUUUAUUCUAUGUAUUGAAACACUGGUGCUUUCUUCAAAGUGGGGUAGAUUAAAUGUGUUUAAAACCACAGACCAAGCCAAUACAAAUCAAUAACGGAUAUAUGCUGUAAGUUGUUU